ensembl:lncRNA
GCGUCUGUCUACAAUGCAGGAGACCUGGAUUCCAUCCCUGGGUUGGGAAGAUCGGCUGGAGAAGGAAAUGGCAAUCCACUCUAGUACUACUGACUGGAAAAUCCCACUGACAGAGGAGCCUGAUCCUCUGUAUUGCAACGGAUGAAGAUGAGCCCUGGGCGGCCUUUGUCAACGGAUGAAGAUGAGCCCUGGGCGGCCUUUGUCAACGGAUGAAGAUGAGCCCUGGGCGGCCUUUGUCAAUGGAUGAAGAUGAGCCCUGGGCGGCCGUUGUGGAGACGGUCAUCACUGUGACUGUUUUUGCGCUGGUUGUUGUGGUUGUUGGCACCUGUAUUCAUCCCCUCACCCGUUCCUGGAUGAACAGCCCAGAAGUGGAUUUGGAUUUUUGAUUUGAAACGCCAAAUGGGCGAAUAAAAUAUAACUCUCACCCACUCACGUUGUCUCUCAGAAUAAAUUGUAACAUGCAAGUUUCAAUUAAGUUUCUUGUGACCUCAUGUUGACUAAAUAUAAGGGUUUUCUUUUCCCAACGUUAGCGGGUCAUAUGUAGUCAGUCUUUGUCCUUCAGAUGGUUGUGUGCACUUUAUUGGAGGGAUUUCUAUUUUGUUGACUGUGUUGCAAUGCCCCUCCCACCCCCACCUACUCCAGCAGCCUGUAGAGCAGACAGGAGUCUGCACGGAGUCCUUUUUGCCCUGGAUUUCUUGUGCUCUUGAUCUGGUGUUCCUCUUAAUACCUCAUCUCCUUCCUUUUCAACUUAAUUAAUCCUCCAUCUCUUGCCUCAUAGUCCCUGUGUCCUUCCUCUUAUUCCUGUGGGGUCACAUGGUGAAAGCCUAGCUGUUACCAUGGCUCCAAGCUGUGCUUUCUCUC